AGCGAACGCUGGCGGCAUGCUUAACACAUGCAAGUCGAACGAACUCUUCGGAGUUAGUGGCGGACCGGGGGGCAACACGUGGGAACGCGCCUUUUGGUUCGGCAUAACUCAGGGAAACAUGUGCUAAUACCGAAUGUGCCCACCGGGGGGAAGAUUUAUCGCCAUUAGAGCGGCCCGCGUUUGUUUAGUUUGUUGGUGUGGUAACGGCUCGCCACGUCGAGGAGCAGUAGCUGGUUGGCGAGGCUGCCCAGGGACACUGGGACUCGGCCACGGCCCCGACGCGUGCGAGAGGCAGCAGUGGGGGAUCUAGGGGAAUGAGCGAAAUCCUGACACAGCCAUGCCGCGUGAAUGAUGAAGGGCUUAGGAUUGUAAAAUUCUAUCGCCGGAGACGAUAAUGACGGUACCCAGAGAAGAAGCCCCGGCUAACUUCGUG
rnacentral:rRNA from 1 species